AUUGAACGCUGGCGGCAGGCUUAACACAUGCAAGUCGAGGGGUAUAGUUCUUCGGAGCUAGAGACCGGCGCACGGGUGCGUAACGCGUAUGCAAUCUACCUUUUGCAGAGGGAUAGCCCAGAGAAAUUCGGAUUAAUACCUCAUGGUAUGUGAGAAUGGCAUCAUUUUCACAUUAAAGUCACAACGGCAAAAGAUGAGCAUGCGUCCCAUUAGCUAGUUGGUAAGGUAACGGCUUACCAAGGCAACGAUGGGUAGGGGUCCUGAGAGGGACGUCCCCCACCAAGGAACUGAGACACGGACCAGACUCAUACGGGGGGCAGAAGUGAGUAAUAUUGGACAAUGGGCGCAAGCCUGAUCCAGCCAUGCCGCGGGCAGGAUGACGGUCCUUUGGAUUGUAAACUGCUUUUGUACAGGAAGAAACACUGGUUCGUGAACCAGCUUGACGGUACUGUAAGAAUAAGGAUCGGCUAACUCCGUGCCAGCAGCCGCCGUAACAC
rnacentral:rRNA from 1 species